AUACGGAGGAUCCAAGCGUUAUCCGGAUUUAUUGGGUUUAAAGGGUGCGUAGGCGGACUGGUAAGUCAGCUGUGAAAGUUUGCGGCUUAACCGUAAAAUUGCAGUUGAUACUGUCAGUCUUGAGUGUGCAUGAGGUGGGCGGAAUUUGUGGUGUAGCGGUGAAAUGCUUAGAUAUCACGAGGAACUCCAAUUGCGAAGGCAGCUCACUGGGGCAUAACUGACGCUGAUGCACGAAGGUGUGGGUAUCAAACAGGAUUAGAUACCCUGGUAGUCCACACAGUAAACUAUGAAUACUCACUGUUUGCGAUAUACAGUAAGCGGCCAAGCGAAAGCAUUAAGUAUUCCACCUGGGGAGUACGCCGGCAACGGUGAAACUUAAAGGAAUUGACGGGG
rnacentral:rRNA from 1 species